rnacentral:lncRNA from 1 species
GACUUCUGAAACAAAUAGGGCCUAAGUUACUAAGCGACCUAAAAUAUGAAAGACGGUAGAAGAUGCUACGUAUACACUGGACAUAAUUUUAGUGCUUAUAGCCAACAAACUCUUACCAAACAAAAAUGACAUAAACCUACAUCCAAAGUGGUUAAGGCCCGGUUUAAUGAAAUGUCUUCAAAGUGGCAAAGCUAGGAGUAUUAUAACACAUGAUGAGUAUUAAGAAAUCUACAUCCCGUAGUCCGUGAACAUAUGAAGAAACUUGAUACAUGAACCUUGUUCAAUUCAAAGGUUGAAUAAAAAGCAGAGUGCUAGAUGAUAGGUGCCUAGUUUUAUUGAAACUAUAAUUUAUUUUUAUUUUUUAGUUGUGAAUCUCCAGUUCAUACAAUAAAACAUACGCGGCAGAAAAUGAAAGUUGGGACGUCAUUUCAUUCAUAUUUGCAAUAAUCCUAUUUGGCAGAGCAAUCGGCCCAAGUAUAAGCAGAAAAAACACAUGAUGUACCACACCAGAAGGUAUUAACCAUGUGACAGUAUGCUCCCCGCUACCAAUGAUUAUACCCCCCCCCCCCCCCACCUCGUAGGGUUCAGGGUGACUUAAGCGAGACCUAAGCUCGUUGAGGUAGCUUUCGUCAAGUUCUUCAAUUUUGUGCUCUCGUUUACAGCAUGACACAAUGCUCUGUUGAGUUUUGGCCAGCUAAACUCGGCAGAUACACAACGAACAAGGAACGUGGCAUGUGGGUUGCUAUUGCACAAUCGACAACCAUUGCCGAGAGCAUGAUUGAUAUAAGAAAGACGUCCAAACUUCUACCCAGUUCGAAACUCCAAAGACACUUAUCAUAAGAGCAUGGUUAAUAUUACAACCAGUUGCUGACUAUAUGAUAUUGACACGUCAUCUAUAGCCAAGCUUAUAGCCCGCAAGUAUAAUAGAUAGAUGUAAAUAAGUACUACUUUAUUGAUACAAGGCCCACCAUCCUCUCUCACAAAAUGUCUAGGAACACGUGUUACAGCCGGCUGUUAGUUUGUAGCCCGCUUCUCUUCUCUCUCCUCUUCUCCCUCUUUCAAAUCAUCAUAAAUAUAUUAUUUUAAAUCUUAUAGCCCGUCUACAUCAUCCUACUGUACUUGCUCUAAAAACCCUGUACCCAAUUUUGCCGAGUGCACAUUGGAGGAAACUUGGCAACCCUUUUUCUAGGACGGCACUCGGCGGAUUCAUGUCGAUUAUGAACCGACAUGUGGCACCACCGUAUUGCUAGUCCCCCAUUUUGCCGAGUUGCCCUGGUUU